rnacentral:lncRNA from 1 species
AGAAGCAAAGCAAGCCUGAAAAUAUGACUUCAACUUUUCCAUCAAGUUGCAGAUUGAGGGUGGAGUCCUGUGAUUUUCAGGCUCUUCAAGUUAACAAUACUUGCAAAGAUGAAGAUGGAAUUCUCUGUCAUCCAUGAAGGAACAAUAAUUCAACUCCAAAUUUAAGCAAUCAUGCAAGUACUUUUGCUUGAGACCAAUGUUGUACUUCAGUGUGUAGCAGAAGUGCUUUAUACAUAUUUCUCAUCUAUUCACAUGGACUAUUUAAGAGAAGUGUACUCCUCAGCUAUCAAGAUUUUUAAAUUUUAUUAAUUUGUAUUGCUUCAUCAAGGAAAGUUCAGUGAAAAUGGCAUUUUUAAGUAACUGUGAGUGCGUGGCAGUGAAGAAUUCAGUGACUACUGGGACAACUUGGCAUUGCAACCAUGAUUUGAGCUAAGGCACCAGUAAUUUUAUCCAUCAUUGCUUGUGCACCAUCAGGAAAAAUAUCAACACAGUGAAAAAGGCAAUGAUGUAUGAGUAUUAUAAAGAUAAAUUUAACUUCAUGAACUCCAUGAAGGGGUCUUGGGUACCCCCAUCUCUACCCUAGGUUUCAUCAUGGAACUUUGAGAAUUGUUGAUUUAGUUUUUAGUGUCGAACAAAUAUAUUUUAUUUUGAAAGGAUAAAAUCUCCUCUCCUUCUCCCUCUCCCUCUCCCUCUCCCCAUGGUCUCCCUCUCUUUCCAUGGUCUCCCUCUCAUGCGGAGCCGAAGCUGGACUGUACUGCUGCCAUCUGGGCUCACUGCAACCUCCCUGCCUGAUUCUCCUGCCUCAGCCUGCUGAGUGCCUGCGAUUGCAGGCACGCGCCGCCACGCCUGACUGGUUUUGGUGGAGACGGGGUUUCGCUGUGUUGGCCGGCCGGUCUCCAGCCCCUAACCGCGAGUGAUCCGCCAGCCUCGGCCUCCUGAGGUGCCGGGAUUGCAGACGGAGUCUCGUUCACUCAGUGCUCAAUGGUGCCCAGGCUGGAGUGCAGUGGCGUGAUCUUGGCUCGCUACAACCUACACCUCCCAGCUGCCUGCCUUGGCCUCCCAAAGUGCCGAGAUUGCAGCCUCUGCCUGGCCGCCACCCCGUCUGGGAAGUGAGGAAUGUCUCUGCCUGGCCACCCAUCGUCUGGAAUGUGAGGAGCCCCUCUGCCUGGCUGCCCAGUCUGGAAAGUGAGGAGCGUCUCCGCCCGGCCGCCAUCCCAUCUAGGAAGUGAGGAGCGCCUCUUCCCAGCCGCCAUCACAUCUAGGAAGUGAGGAGUGUCUCUGCCCGGCCACCCAUCGUCUGAGAUGUGGGGAGCGCCUCUGCCCCGCCGCCCCAUCUGGGAUGUGAGGAGCGCCUCUGCCCGGCCGCGACCCCGUCUGGGAGGUGAGGAGAGUCUCUGCCCGGCCGCCCCGUCUGAGAAGUGAGGAGACCCUCUGCCUGGCAACCACCCCGUCUGAGAAGUGAGGAGCCCCUCCGCCUGGCAGCUGCCCCGUGUGAGAAGUGAGGAGCCUCUCCGCCCGGCAGCCACCCCAUCUGGGAAGUGAGGAGCGUCUCCGCCCGGCAGCCACCCCGUCCGGGAGGGAGGUGGGGGGGGUCAGCCCCCCGCCCGGCCAGCCGCCCCUUCCGGGAGGGAGGUGGGGGGAUCAGCCCCCCGCCCGGCCAGCCGCGCCGUCUGGGAGGGAGGUGGGGGGAUCAGCCCCCCGCCCGGCCAGCCGCCCCGUCUGGGAGGGAGGUGGGGGGGGUCAGCCCCCCGCCCGGCCAGCCGCCCCGUCCGGGAGGUGAGGGGCGCCUCUGCCCGGCCGCCCCUACUGGGAAGUGAGGAGCCCCUCUGCCCGGCCACCACCCCGUCUGGGAGGUGUGCCCAACAGCUCACUGAGAACGGGCCAGGAUGACAAUGGCAGCUUUGUGGAAUAGAAAGGCGGGAAAGGUGGGGAAAAGAUUGAGAAAUCGGAUGGUUGCCGUGUCUGUGUAGAAAGAAGUAGACAUGGGAGACUUUUCAUUUUGUUAGGCACUAAGAAAAAUUCUUCUGCCUUGGGAUCCUGUUGAUCUGUGACCUUACCCCCAACCCUGUGCUCUCUGAAACAUGUGCUGUGUCCACUCAGGGUUAAAUGGAUUAAGGGCGGUGUAAGAUGUGCUUUGUUAAACAGAUGCUUGAAGGCAGCAUGCUCGUUAAGAGUCAUCACCACUCCCUAAUCUCAAGUAAUCAGGGACACAAACACUGCGGAAGGCCGCAGGGUCCUCUGCCUAGGAAAACCAGAGACCUUUGUUCACUUGUUUAUCUGCUGACCUUCCCUCCACUAUUGUCCCAUGACCCUGCCAAAUCCCCCUCUGUGAGAAACACCCAAGAAUUAUCAAUAAAAAAAAAAUUUAAAAAAAAAAAAAAAAGGAUAAAAUCUGUCAAGUUGUCACUUUGUGAAGUUGUUCCUUUUUGGGUCUUGUUUAAUACAUUUUUCCUUAGCCAUAAUCACAAAAUAAUCUCCUAUUGUCUUCUGUUAACUUUAUACCUUUUAUAUUUUGACCUUCCAGUGAUGUCAAAUUCAUUUUAGAUUAUGAUGAGAGGAACAGAUCCAUCUUUAUUUUUCUUCAUAGAUUAAGGAGAAUUUCUCAAUAACAUUCAAUACAUAUUCCAUUAUUUUCUUACUGAGGGAGUAUUCUCAUAUAUUCUCAAUUACUAAGUUCUGUAUACACAUAGAUUGUUUUGGGUUUCUCCAUUUGGCUUAUUAUUAUUAUUUUUUGUUUAUCUUUUCUACACCAGUUUAACACCAUUGAACUCACCAAGGCUUUGUAAUAUAACUUAAAAUUAAGCAGGAAACAUCUCCUCUUUUUGUUUUCUUUUUCCAAAUCAUCUUAGCUUUGGUAGAUCCUAUUUUUCCCCUGGAUAAAACUUAGUUUAUCAAUUUUCUUCCCCCAAUCCUCCUGGAAUAUUCAUUAAAACUUCAUUGAAUAUAUAGAUUAAUUUGCAAAAAUUGGCAUCAAUAUUGUAAAGGUCUUUUUUAAUAGUUUCCUUUUAUCAUUUAAUAGACUUUAAAAAUAUAUUCUAUAAUAAUUUUGUACAUGGUUGAUUAUGUCCUGGCUACUUUAGAGUUUUGUUGCUACUAUAAAUAUUUAUUUCUAUUUUUGUUAUUUUUGAUGUGCUACUAUAUAUUGAUUUUUAUACGUUGAUUUUUGUAUUUGGAAACCUUGCUAAUUCUAAGAAUUAUCUGAUUCUCUUGAUCUUGUCUUUAUAGUAUCAUAUGUAAAAAUUUUAUACAAUAAUGUACAUAUGAUAAGUGGUAAUAUAGUUUAUAUUGUAAUACAAAUAAAAUACAUGUUACAACAUAAAUUGUUUUUAUUACUGUAUGAUUAUGAAAGUAUUCUUCUUUCUUAUACUUGUAAAUUAUUUUUCUUCUUUGAUUUGUUGAUUUGAACAUGCUCUAUCAUUUGUAAGAAAGAGGUGCUUUGACAGGGAGCAUCUUUUGCUUGUUUUGUGAAAUAAGAAGUUUAUUUCCUCUUUGUUUUCACCUUUCC